UACGUAGGGGGCAAGCGUUUGUCCGGAAUCAUUGGGCGUAAAGCGCGUGUAGGCGGCUCAGUAAGUCCGCUCUGAAAGCCCGGGGCUCACCCCGGGAGGCGGGUGGAUACUGCUGAGCUCGAGUCCGGGAAGAGGAGAGCGGAACUCCUGGUGUAGCGGUGGAAUGCGCAGAUAUCAGGAAGAACACCCGUGGCGAAGGCGGCUCUCUGGGCCUACCUGACGCUGAG
rnacentral:rRNA from 1 species